rnacentral:ribozyme from 1 species
CACGCUUGGUGACUCGAGUGGUUUCUAUGUGUAUAGCGAGCAGAAGAAUAACAAAGAAGCUCAGUUUAUU